rnacentral:rRNA from 1 species
AGCGAACGCUGGCGGCAGGCUUAACACAUGCAAGUCGAGCGGGCACUUCGGUGUCAGCGGCGGACGGGUGAGUAACACGUGGGAACGUACCCUUUGGUUCGGAAUAACGCGGGGAAACUAGCGCUAAUACCGGAUACGCCCUUUUGGGGAAAGGCUUGCUGCCGAAGGAUCGGCCCGCGUCUGAUUAGCUAGUUGGUGGGGUAAUGGCCUACCAAGGCGAGGAUCAGUAGAUGGUCUGAGAGGAUGGUCAGCCACACUGGGACUGAGACACGGCCCAGACUCCGAAGGGAGUCAACGGGGGGGAAUACUGGACAACGGGCGAAAGCCUGAUCCAGCCAUGGCGCGUGUGGGAUGAAGGUCCUCGGAUUGUAAAGCACAUUAAGGUUGGAGGAAGGGCAGUAAGUUAAUACCUUGCUGGUUGGACGUUACCAACAGAAUAAGCACCGGCUAACUUCGUG